AAAGCAAGCAAUCCAGCCGUUGCGUUCAGUCAUUUGAACAGGAAUCUAAUGGCUGUCAAUAGAUGGCUGUCAAAAGUUGAAUGUCCACCAGAUAGCGCGAGUGUCUUCAGGGACGCAUUUCGGCCAUUUUGUUCCAAGAAGCAGCAGAAAUGGGUUGCUGGUCGUGACGUUUCUCACGAUGAAAAUUAAAAGGUUAUUUAUCACGUAGAAACCAAUUUGCCAAAUCAUUCAUCUCAGAGUUGGAAUUUGGAAUUGCCUGUACAUUGCCGAAAUGGCGUGCCUCGUGUGUCUCGCUGCCUGUUCUUAGGCGUACGUCUCAUCCCAUGCAACAGUAAAAAGUAUAAAAAACACUUUAACGCUGUUGGCCACCUUGUUGCAGCCAAAUGGUGAAAGGUGUGACGAAGACAGAUUAAUCCGGUGUAUGCAGCAUGAGGUUGCAGUGUAAUCCAGAAGUAGCUGCGCUGGUGUUACCCUGAAAUUGCUGUGCUGAGCUAGCUGCUGAGCUGUUCCAUCUUGAUUCCUGACUUGAAAAUUUUGUGUUGUUUGCCUGCCAGUAUUUUGUGUUGUGACUUCAAAUAGUUUGAUCUGUCGUCUUUUGAGUUUUCAUUCAAU